AGCAAUUUUAUUAAAAAGAAAAAGAAAAGAAGAAAAAGGAAGCAAGGAGAGGUUGCUUAAGUUUGAAGGAAAAACAAAGGAAAAUAGUUCUUUCUCUUUCUCUCUCUUUCGAUUCUUUUGGGCUGUAGUUGGGGGUGAGAAUUUGUGUUGAAUCAAGGGAAUUCUAGUGGUAUUGAAGCUUUGUUCAAGGUAAUCUUCUUCUCUUUUUUUUUACUUGAAGUUGUUGUAGUUAAAUUAGGUUUUGAUGUGAAUUUUGGGAAAUUGGUGGCUGUUUGAUUUGGGAAUUGCUUAGAUUAGUUUCUGGUGUUAAUUAGAGGUUGUUAUCCUGGUUAUAAGCUAAGCUAAGUGAGUAUUUUAAUGUUUGAAUUGGAUUUAAAGUUGUGAGUUCAAAUUGGAGCUUUAAUGGUGAAAUGGGAUUUUGUUUGAUUUGUUGAGAUUUGUUGCUUGGAACUGGUUUAUUUUAGAGCAUACAGGUGUUCUGGAAAGUAUUGGAAAGUUUGGGAUUAAUUUGAGUUGUGGGGGUCGGAUUUUUGGUUCCCAGACCAGAACCGGAAUUCCGGUUCCUGGGAGCCUGUGUCAACCGGUCGACCGGUUGGUCCCAGGAACCGGACUUCCGGUUGGGAACCGGCCUGCCGGUUGGGGCUUUUUCCCGAACCCUAGUUUUUCCCGUUUUUAAGUAUUUUAGGGUAUUGGCAUCCUUUUCAUCGAUAGGGUUAAGCUUAGUUUGUAUUUUAAAUCCCCGAUAAGUGUUUUAGCGAGUCUCUCAUCGGUUUUUGAACAUUAUGGUUUAGGGCCCUGUAAAACGUCGAGCUGCACUUCCACUCAGGCUGACCGGCACACUUGAGCAAGGAACGAGGUAAAGGAAAAGCAAAGCUGGAGGAACAGUGAGGUGGAACUCGGCAUGAUUGUACAUAUUGCGGCAGUGCAACCUGGAGGGUUUCGGUUUAUAAAUAUUUUGGAGUCUGUAUUUUGAAGAUGCAUGUCCGCAAAACUUUUAAAAAAAAUAUAUAUAUGUAUAUGUAAUAGUAAAGUACUUUUAACCUAAAUUUAGAUACUCGGGAUCCCGAUCCAUAUGGUUAUUAAUAUAUAAAUUAUUAAAGUUAAUUUC